rnacentral:rRNA from 1 species
AAGGAAUAUUGGUCAAUGGACGCAAGUCUGAACCAGCCAUGCCGCGUGAAGGAUGAAGGUCCUCUGGAUUGUAAACUUCUUUUAUCUGGGACGAAAACGGGAUUUUUAUCUCAAUUGACGGUACCAGAGGAAUAAGCACCGGCUAACUCCGUGCCCGCAGCCGCGGUAAUACGGAGGGUGCGAGCGUUAUCCGGAUUUACUGGGUUUAAAGGGUGCGUAGGUGGGCUUAUAAGUCAGUGGUGAAAUCUCCGAGCUUAACUUGGAAACUGCCGUUGAUACUAUAGGUCUUGAAUUAUCUGGAGGUAAGCGGAAUAUGUCAUGUAGCGGUGAAAUGCUUAGAUAUGACAUAGAACACCAAUUGCGAAGGCAGCUUACUACAUAUAAAUUGACGCUGAGGCACGAAAGCGUGGGGAUCAAACA